rnacentral:rRNA from 1 species
AUUGAACGCUGGCGGCAGGCUUAACACAUGCAAGUCGAGCGGAGAUGAGGUGCUUGCACCUUAUCUUAGCGGCGGACGGGUGAGUAAUGCUUAGGAAUCUGCCUAUUAGUGGGGGACAACAUUCCGAAAGGAAUGCUAAUACCGCAUACGUCCUACGGGAGAAAGCAGGGGAUCUUCGGACCUUGCGCUAAUAGAUGAGCCUAGGUCGGAUUAGCUAGUUGGUGGGGUAAAGGCCUACCAAGGCGACGAUCUGUAGCGGGUCUGAGAGGAUGAUCCGCCACACUGGGACUGAGACACGGCCCAGACUCCUACGGGAGGCAGCAGUGGGGAAUAUUGGACAAUGGGGGGAACCCUGAUCCAGACAUGCCGCGUGUGUGAAGAAGGCCUUAUGGUUGUAAAGCACUUUAAGCGAGGAGGAGGCUACUGAGACUAAUACUCUUGGAUAGUGGACGUUACUCGCAGAAUAAGCACCGGCUAACUCUGUGCCAGCAGCCGCAGUAA